AAAUAAAAGCGUUUAGCACCGCUGAAAACGGAAUCAUGUAGUUUCCCCUUUUGUUUCCCGAGAAAAUACUAGGUAAAAUUGAAACCAAAACUCAGAAAUCUCAUAGCAACAGCUUGGACUGGACUUGAGAUCAAAUCUGUUUGAAUCGCUUCGUGUUUGUGAGGCUACGGUUCUUUAACUAGAAAAUUUUCUCUAAGGAAUUGAAAUAAGCUUCGAUGUUUAAAAAGAAACACACAUAUAUGUGUGUAUAUAUAUAGAUAGAUAGAUAGAUUUUUUUUAUUUUUUUAUUGUUACAGUAUUAUUAUUAUUAUUAUUAUAUCUGUUACAAAGCCUAUUGUAACACAUACUGUGUAAGAACAUGGUUGUAAUGGUUUUGAAUUUUGGCUGUCUAUAUUUGAUUGAAUUAUAUUCAGCAAAAGAAAAAAAAAAGGGGAGAUUUGAUUGAAUAUAAACUCAAAUUAAGUUUCUAUGCUUAAUUUGUUACUAUGAAAAGAUAUUGGCAUCAUUUUAAGGAAAAUUGAUCAUAGGAAUUUUUUUUUUUCCCACUCAAAUGAGUGAUUUAUCCUCCAAAUACUUUUAGAUUGACUGAGAAAAGUCAUAUGAGAUUGAAUGUUUAGGUGAUGAAUAUGUCAUUGUUCAGUAGCUGAUUGAAGAAAAAUGAGUAUUUUGAGUGAGCAUGAUAAAGAGUUUACAAUAUUAGUAUUCUAUUUUAUCCAUCUAAUAUUCGCUUUAUUAGUGUAUGUUAAUUUAGGCCAUUAAAUAUAAUGGUACUAAUAAAAAAACACAUGUGGGUAGAGUGUUGUUUUUUUUUUUUUCUAAAUCGCAAGUAGAUAAAAUAUCAUUUUUAUAAACACAAGUGGUAAAAAAAAUAAAUUUUUCUCAAAGCAUGUGACCUACAUGUAUAAGUUUUGAUGUUAAAUUCUAACACAUAGUUUCGCAAUACAAGUGUUUGUUUGGGUAUCCACAGUUUCUUGUUGCUUAUUUGCAUAGUAUUUAUCAAAAGAUAUAAUUUUUUGUAACUUUUAUGUUAAAUGUGUGACAAGAAGCUAAAAGUUAGAUUAUUUACAAAAAUGCUGAGACAAAAAGCACAAAGCUUUGCCUUUUGCCUUUACCCAAAUGGGACUCAAAACUCAAUUGGGUAAAGUUGGAGGCACUAUCUUGUACAUCUGUUGUAUGUAACCAAUGUUUCAUAACAUGGAGUCUGCAAGUGUGUGGUCCCCAUUAUUUGUAAGACACCAGUUGCUUGCAACCAAUGCAUAAGAUAGUUCUCUUUAAAGUUGAGAAUUUUUUAAACUAUGGCUUGAUAAGGGAAGCUUUCCCUUUACCACAUGUUGCCAAAGUGAAUUUAUCCCUUAAAAACUAAUUUUUAGGCUUCACUCUAGAAAAGCUGAAGCUCCUUCUUUUGUUCUGUGCACUAGCCUUUAUGCCUUUAUAACUUAUUUUAAUAAAUGUCCUUGUUUCAAUUAAUUCUACCACUAUUUAAUCUACCUUGUUUCCUGAACUUUAAGGUAAUUGUUAACAAUGAAAACUUAGUUAAAUUUACAUCAUCAACUACCCUAACCCAGAUUCCAGAAACCAACCACACACUAGCUUACUUGGAUUGUCAAGAUUGUUUGAAAUUUCACUGGAACAAGGGUAGAAGCAGUUGGCAUCUGAAAGAGACUUGUUUAUUGAUUAACUAAUUAAGGAUAAUAAUUGAAAGAAAAGACGAAGAGUCUUUAUUCCGCAGAAGAUUCUCAUAUUCAUAUUCAAGAGCAUUAUCAAUGGUCAUUGUGCCAUCUUAAAAAGGAACUUUGUAUUAAUUAUAGAGCAUCAAAUUCAUUAGGGCUUCAGUUGGUUUCAUAUGAUAAUUCCUUGUAUUACUUUGAAUCAUUUGGCUAUGAAAGUGUUGAAGUUACUUUAAGUGUUAAUUACUGCAUAUUCUGCUACAAACGGCUAGCUGAAUUAUGCAAGGAAUAUUUAAGAGGGUGAUGCAGGACAACCAGAACAAAAUUGAAAGAACGGAAAAAUAAAAGAUAUGACCUAGGAGUCAGCACCUAGGCCUUACUUGGAGUCAGCACCAAGCGGGGAAACCACUAGGAGUCAGCACCUAGGGUAGACCUGGAGUCAGCACCAGACCAAAGAAAGACCAAACGGCCAUUGUUUUCAUUCAUCAAAAUAUCAACUGUCCCCUCAAGGAGUACAAUAAGUUGCUUAUAAAGGAUUACUAAACCCUAGUUCUAAUUGGCUAGGAAACCCUAAUUGCCUUAUUACAAAAAUACCCUUGUUGGCUAGGAAACCCUAAUUGCCUUAUUACAAAAAUACCCUUGCUUCUAAAUUAAAAUACUAAUAACCCAAUAAACUAAUAAGACCUAAAACAUAAAAAUACAAUUGACUAGCAAACAUAAAUAAUACUAAAUAAUAAUUUUCUUGCGUCUCCCGCAUCAGAGGGCUUACAAACACUUGAGCGUUUAAACAAGAACACUAAAAGAAGUCUAGAAAUCCAUAAUUUAGCUGGCGGGGUCAACUUUGGUUCCUUUAAGUCACUGUUUAAUAUCUUAAAAAGCUUCUUAUAUUUCUUGUUUAAGUUUUUUAUGUAAUGAGUUCUGUGACUUUUAAAUGAGUCAUAUAACCACUAAUAAGUAGUCUUAUGCUCCCUGCGUAACAAGUAUAAAAUGAUUAGAUUAGACUUGAAUUAGUGGUUUUUGAUGACAUCUUCGUUAGGAUAACAUUUUCUUUAUCUUAUCUAAAGAUUUUUUAAAGUUGUAAUAGCAACUUUUCGGGGAAUUAUUUAUUGAAAUUCCAUCCAACAUUUGUAACUUCUUCUCUCCCUUUCUCUUAGGGAUUUUUUUUUUUUUUUUUUUUUUAAAUUAUGAGAAGAUGAUUCUCUUAGGAAUUAAAUGAUGAUGUUUUUACCAAUUUAAUAGUUAAAUCUAGCUCUCUGAUUUCAUUUCAUACAUUCUUAUAUUCUCUACAUCAUACACGGUUGCACCAGUAGAUAAAUGUGAACAGUACCUCUUUAACAGUAUUGUACAGUACUCAUAAACAUAUUCUUUUUCUUCCCCCCCAAAUUUUAUUGUGUCACUAAACAAGUUCCACAUCAAUCUAUAUUAUCUCUCUUAAUCUUCUAACAAUGCCACUCAGCUCUAGGCUUUGCGAAUUUUGUAGUAGCUAUGUGAAGUGUAACGCAAUCUCUGGCACAAGUAUUACUUGAACAAGUUCAACAACAUGCUCUCUAUCUCUCGUUUACAUUUGAGUAUCUAUAAAUUUGAAAUGUAAGGGCAUAUUAGGCAGAACAAAAAACGCUAACUCUAGAUAGAACCAACUUUAUUGAAACUUGAAAUGUAAGGGCAUAUUAUACAUUACAUCCAUAAACAUACCAACCCCCUCAUGGGAGAUUUGAUGAAGUUCUCUCUUCCUAUCUGGAAAGUAAAAACACACAAAACACAGACAUAUUCUUGCAUGAGAUGAUUACAAUGGUUUCAAAGGAUGCAGGACU